rnacentral:rRNA from 1 species
UACAGAGGAGCCAAGCGUUGUCCGGAUUGACUGGGCGUAAAGCGCACGCAGGCGGCAUCGCGCGUGGGGUGUGAAAUCUGGCCGCUUAACGGCCAGGCGCCAUCCCAUACGGCGAGGCUGGAGCGAUGCAGAGGUCGGUGGAAUUGCCGGUGUAGUGGUGAAAUACAUAGAGAUGUCAUAGAACACCGAUUGCGAAGGCAGCUCACAAAACUGUAACUGACGCUGAGGCACGAAAGUGCGGGGAUCAAACAGG